GCGUCCUUAAUUUAGUUGGUAGAAUGUUGGUCUCCAAAACCAAACGUCGUGGGUUCAAGUCCUACAGGGCGCG
rnacentral:tRNA from 1 species